GUCUUCUCCCCCAACCCCCAUCUUCUUCUUCCUUGGGAUUUGUUGAAAAAAUGGGAUUGACUUGUAGAAUUUCCUUCGUUGCAGGGUGCUUUGUAUCUGCUUAUCUUACAAAACCAUUUAUGCACAACUCCGGUGCUAUUGUUUCUGCCAGAAGUGGAUUUAACCACUUUCACAUUGUGAGGCUUCUUCGGAGAACACCCAUAGUGAUUCACAAAGCAAAGCCAAAUCUUGGGUACUUGGCUGUGCCUCAGCUGACAUCCAGGCUUCAUCACAUCUAAGUAGCCCCAUAGGUCUCAAGGAGGAGUAGAUGAGAAUACUGAGAGCCUUCAGUUUGGGACAUACUAGCAGGAGGAGAGAUUGAGAGGAUAACACCUGGAUAUGUUCAGAGACAGAUAACCAGGCAAGAUCAACAUCCACUCAGCUCUCAUCAUGAGAAUAAAGAAAACUUGAAAUUGUUCA
rnacentral:lncRNA from 1 species